GACGAACGCUGGCGGCGUGCUUAACACAUGCAAGUCGAACGGAAAGGCCCUGCUUUUGUGGGUUGCUCGAGUGGCGAACGGGUGAGUAACACGUGAGUAACCUGCCCUUGACUUUGGGAUAACUUCAGGAAACUGGGGCUAAUACCGGAUAGGAGCUCCUGCUGCAUGGGGGGGGUUGGUAAGUUUCGGCGGUUGGGGCUGGUAUGGCGGCUUACCAGCUUGUUGGUGGGGUAGUGGCUUACCAAGGCUUUGACGGGUAGCCGGCCUGGGAGGGUGACCGGCCACAUGGGGACUGAGAGAGGGCGCAGACUGCAACGGUAGGCAGUAGGCGGAAAUAUGGCACAAUGGGCGGAAGCCAGAGGCAGCAACGCCGCGUGCGGGAUGACGGCCUUCUGGGGGUGAACCGCUGUCGCCGUAGACGAAGCGUGAGUGACGGUAAUGGGUAAAGAAGCACCGGCUAACUACGUG
rnacentral:rRNA from 1 species